UACAGAGGGUGCAAGCGUUAAUCGGAUUUACUGGGCGUAAAGCGUGUGUAGGUGGCUUCGUAAGUCGGUUGUGAAAUCCCUGGGCUUAACCUGGGAAUUGCAUUCGAUACUGCAAAGCUCGAGUUCGGUAGAGGACGGCGGAAUUCCCGGUGUAGCGGUGAAAUGCGUAGAUAUCGGGAGGAACAUCGAUGGCGAAGGCAACCGUCUGGGCCUGAACUGACACUGUGACACGAAAGCGUGGGUAGCAAACAGG
rnacentral:rRNA from 1 species